AUUGAACGCUGGCGGCAUGCCUUACACAUGCAAGUCGAACGGCAGCACGGGAGCAAUCCUGGUGGCGAGUGGCGAACGGGUGAGUAAUAUAUCGGAACGUGCCCAGUCGUGGGGGAUAACGUAGCGAAAGCUACGCUAAUACCGCAUACGAUCUACGGAUGAAAGCGGGGGAUCGCAAGACCUCGCGCGAUUGGAGCGGCCGAUAUCAGAUUAGCUAGUUGGUGGGGUAAAAGCUCACCAAGGCGACGAUCUGUAGCUGGUCUGAGAGGACGACCAGCCACACUGGAACUGAGACACGGUCCAGACUCCUACGGGAGGCAGCAGUGGGGAAUUUUGGACAAUGGGCGCAAGCCUGAUCCAGCAAUGCCGCGUGCAGGAUGAAGGCCUUCGGUUGUAAACUGCUUUGUACGGUAACGAAACGGUAGAGCUCUAAUAAAGACUCGCUAACUGACGGUACCGUAAGAAUAAGACACCGGCUAACUACGUGCC
rnacentral:rRNA from 1 species